GUUUUUAUAAAUACUUUAGCAAUGUUUUGUAAUUCACUUUAUGCAUCUUUGUAUUCAUAGUAAGUUAUAGAAGUAAAAGGCAAAUGCAGCUGGAGACAGACUUCCUUUAGACAGAUGUUCUACUUCUGAAGAAAAAAUAAAAUAAGGAGUUGGAGGAAGAAACAAAAGAAAAAAGUAACAAUAUAGAAAACAAUUUAGAUCAUGGUCUGUUCUUCUGUAUUGCAAAUUCUAAACUUUCCACAAGUUACCUCAGGCCAUUUGCUUCAUUACAGUGUCAAGGAAAUUUCACCAGAUGAGUGA
ensembl:lncRNA